GCUUUCGUGGCGCAACAGGCAGCGCGUUCGGCUGUUAACCGAAAGGUAGGUGUUUGGGAGCA
rnacentral:tRNA from 1 species